AAAGCAUGAGAUGUGAAACCAGGAAGAACCAGGUCUGAACCUUAGCUCCACCAGUGGUAGCUCCAAAUCUUGGUCUUUUCUGAGCCUGCUUCUUCAACCCUAAGGGAACACUACACUUCCUUAGAAAUUAAGAGUGUGUGCUACACUGCUUUACCAGAGCAAGACCAAAAGCAGCUUCAAUUAUGGUACAACUGUGAGAAGACACAAUGCGAAACCACUCAAGAAUGCUCACUCAAAUGGAUUUUUACCAUGGAACUGGGAAACGGGACCCAGAAAGUUGUUUUCUGCAAGUGGAUGGAACAACACAAGCAAUCAGUAUCCUGAAACAGGCCCUGUUCCAACAAACUGACCCAGAAAGGUCUGGUUAGAAGGACAGGACUCUCACUAUACACUAUCACAUUUAAACUAAAAGGAUAUUAUGAAUUAUGUAGACAUAUCAAGCUGAGAGGAAAGGAAAUCCUAUCAUCGUGCAGGCUUCCUAAUGAUCUUACUUAAAACUGAGUUACUGCAACAAUAACGUGUAUUCCACUUACUCAUACCUGUUCC